ensembl:lincRNA
GAAACUGAGGUUCAGAGAUACCAGACAAUGUACUGAAAUAUGUCAAUCAGUAAGUGCUCACUUCAAGCCGUGACUGCCUGCAUUUGAGUAGAAGUUUUCCAGAAGAGGACUGAAGUAACGACAAUUGAUGAUGCCUUAUACAAUAGAUUGGAGAAACUAUAAGACAAUUGAGUAUGGCUUCUAGAAGGGAUUGGAGGAACUAGGAUCAGGGGGCUGUUUCAGCAUCCAAAUGGGAAGAAAUCUGGGCCUUACAUCAGAGUAUUGCUCAUGAGAGAGGAUAAAUCCAGCCAAACUGACAGAAUAAAAUGUCUUUAAAAGGAAAUUUUAAUAAGAAACUGGUGUUCAAGGAGGCGGGUGUUAAAUUAGGAGGGGGAGAAGUCUAUUUAAAUUUUAUACAUGGAGUGCACUAGUAAAAAUAUAAAACAUUUUUAAAAAGUUAGUAAUUCAAGGUUCAAGGUUCAAACUUGUCUGAAAUGGGCUUUCAAAUAUUCUUCAGAAUUUAUGACUCAAUGCCAAAUGUAUUCAACUAAUACAUAUGUUAAAAUGCACACUACACGUCUUACUUUUGACUAAUGAGAUUUCAAAUCCACCCUGAUUCACUCCCGUUUACAGAAGGAAAUUAAAAAAUUGAUUGGUUACUUCCUUCGCUGCAUACGAACACCUUGAUUGGCCAGCUGCCGUGGCUAGGCAACCAGGCGGAGAAUCUUUGGAACAAGUAGCAGACUUCAUCACAGCAGGAGCCGUGAGGCAAGAAGCUCUGGGAUCAAUUAAAAUGCCAGGCUUUUCCAGGCUGGUUUCCAGCGCAUCUGUGCAUGAUUCCACAUAAAUUUAGGGAAUUAGAGAUCAGACAAAGUUAUAAGACAGCUGUUGAUGUCCCACUCACCAGUUAGGAGGAUUGAGAAGAAGCUGCUUUCCAGGAAAUCCCAGUCAACUUCCAAAUAGAUCUCUUUGGUCAAAAAUGUGUCACAGCUCCAACUCUUUUUUUGUAAGUUGCUGUUAUACAAAGAGGAAUGAAUUCAUCAUCAAACAUCUGUACUUCAAUGUCAACAUGUGGUUCAAUAGCAAACAAGUGAUUCCAUGA